AUUUUCACGUCUUUCACAAAUUCCAACACUACCACAAUCUUCUAUACUAUUACUAUAACAAUAAUUAUUACCAUAAUUAUUACCACAUUUUUUUCAGUUAUUUCGUUUUUUAUAUUGCUUGUACAUACAUUUUUUUCAGUUAUUUCGUUUUUUAUAUUAUUUGUACAUGCAUUUUUUCCAGUUAUUUGGUUUUUUAUAUUACUUGUACAUGCAUUUUUUCCAGUUAUUUGGUUUUUUAUAUUGCCUGUACAUACAUUUUUUUCAUUUAUUUCGUUUUUUAUAUUGCCUGUACAUAUAUUUUUUUCAGUUAUUUGUUUUUUUAUAUUGCCUGUACAUACAUUUUUUUCAGUUAUUUUGUUUUUCUGUUGCAUAUCAUCUAUUUUUGUCUUUCCCUUUGGGAAAACUGUUUUUUUCUUAUUAAUAAAACUCGGUAUAACUGUCUUUAUAUUAGCAAAUUUUUUACUAACCGUUAUUUUUUUUUGUACACUUUUACUAGUUUUACAAAAUUUACAACUUUUACUACUUUUUUGUGUUAUAUCUUUGUUUAUAAAAUUAAAAAUCUUACAUGUUUCUUUUUUUACAUUCGCUUUAGUUUUUGGUAAAUAUAAGUCUUCAGUUUUUUCGCAGUUGUUCAUAUUCAUCCUGGCUUGCAUUCUCUUAUUAAGUAUGUCACUUUUUGCAUUAUUUACCUUUUCUAUUAACUGGUUAUACAAUCUAUUAUUAUUUGUUUCAUAUGAUGUGUUUUUAGUUGUUUCUGUAUGUUUUAUAAGUAUCGGCUCCACACGUUUAUUAUUACCUGGUGAUUUAUUUAUCACACGUUUUUUAUUAAUACUACCACUAAUGUUAUUAAUGUUAUUAGCGGUGUUAACGUUAUUAGCGGUGUUAACGUUAUUAACUUUUAUAUUACCGUUUUUCGUUUUUUUGUUAUUUCUACUUUUUAAUAAUCUGUUUUUAUGUUUUUCGAGUGACUCUGCUAGUCGGUUUUUUACUCUAUCUAAGUUGCUCAUUGUAGUCAUGUAAAAUUAAAAAAAAAAAAAAAAACAGAAUAAACCAUAUAAACAAUAUACUAUGUAGAAUAGA
rnacentral:lncRNA from 1 species